UAGAUAUGGUGAAAAAAACACAAUUGACUUAGGAUCAAUUUAUUGUAGGCCAAAUCCUACUAUCUAC
rnacentral:tRNA from 1 species